GGGGAGUGCGCGUCCAUCCCUCGUACACCUUUACCACAGAGCGCGAGGCGGGGGCCGGGGGGAACGCGCCUCUCGCCGGUCUCUAUGAAGGAAGGCAGCUGACGGCUGACCAGAAGCAGACUGGGCACAUAACCAUCGUUCCAUUGUUUCUAUCAGAACGCUGUCCCUCGGUGGCUUUUUAAGCUUUCUUCUGGUCUCACAGCAUCUCAGGUUUUUUGUUUGUUUUUAAGUCUGCUCAGAGCUGGCUCUUCUUCAUUAUACUGUGCAGAUUGUCAGCUUCCACAGUGUCAUCAAUUGCAUUUGUUCUAGCAUUGUCUAUGAGAGACCCAUGUGUCCAUUGCUGACAGCAAAUCAGAACAAAAACCCAUCGUGAGAGCACAUCAGGCUACUCCAAAAGGAAAGAGAUUGAAUUUUCCUGACAGAAUCAGAUCUAAAUCGGUAUCUCAAAAAGAUGCCUCCAAAGUUAUUGUUAGAUGAGGGCGUGCUUUUUCUGUCAGUCCUUGGGCAUUCAUCCAGGGGUGCAAAAAGGACUCUAAGUGAAGGAAACAGCAGUGCCUCAACCAGAGGAGCUAUGAACAGCACAAGUGAGUGCUUGACAAGGGCUUCGGCCAGUGGUUUAACUGCAGCACAGCACAAAGGUAGCAACAUCCAUCUCCUGAGAUUAUGCUGUUCCCAGUGAAGCAGCGCAGAUUUUUCUCACCCACCUGCAAAAUGCACC
ensembl:lncRNA